GCAAUAUAUACUGGUGAAACUGCGAAUGGCUCAUUAAAUCAGUUAUCGUUUAUUUGAUAGUACCUUACUACUUGGAUAACCGUGGUAAUUCUAGAGCUAAUACAUGCUAAAAACCUCAACUUUUGAAGGGGUGUAUUUAUUAGAUAAAAAACCAAUGCCCUUCGGGGCUUUUUGGUGAUUCAUAAUAACUUAACGAAUCGCAUGGCCUUGCGCCGGCGAUAGUUCAUUCAAAUUUCUGCCCUAUCAACUUUCGAUGGUAGGAUAGUGGCCUACCAUGGUUUCAACGGGUAACGGGGAAUUAGGGUUCGAUUCCGGAGAGGGAGCCUGAGAAACGGCUACCACAUCCAAGGAAGGCAGCAGGCGCGCAAAUUACCCAAUCCCGACACGGGGAGGUAGUGACAAUAAAUACUGAUACAGGGCUCUUUUGGGUCUUGUAAUUGGAAUGAGUACAAUUUAAAUCCCUUAACGAGGAACAAUUGGAGGGCAAGUCUGGUGCCAGCAGCCGCGGUAAUUCCAGCUCCAAUAGCGUAUAUUAAAGUUGUUGCAGUUAAAAAGCUCGUAGUUGAACCUUGGGCCUGGCUGGCCGGUCCGUCUCACCGCGUGCACUGGUUCGGCCGGGCCUUUCCUUCUGGGAAUCUGCAUGCCCUUUACUGGGUGUGUUAGGGAACCAGGACUUUUACUUUGAAAAAAUUAGAGUGUUCAAAGCAGGCCUUUGCUCGAAUACAUUAGCAUGGAAUAAUAAAAUAGGACGUGCGAUCCUAUUUUGUUGGUUUCUAGGACCGCCGUAAUGAUUAAUAGGGAUAGUCGGGGGCAUCAGUAUUCAAUUGUCAGAGGUGAAAUUCUUGGAUUUAUUGAAGACUAACUACUGCGAAAGCAUUUGCCAAGGAUGUUUUCAUUAAUCAGUGAACGAAAGUUAGGGGAUCGAAGACGAUCAGAUACCGUCGUAGUCUUAACCGUAAACUAUGCCGACUAGGGAUCGGGCGAUGUUAUUAUUUUGACUCGCUCAGCACCUUACGAGAAAUCAAAGUUUUU
rnacentral:rRNA from 1 species